GCAAAAACAACUCUGGAAGGAUGGUACAGAGGGGAAAAGAAAGCCAAGAAGUUCGCUAUCCCCAGAAUUUGGCGGGAACCCACUGACCACUCAAGCAACUGCUACUUCUGCAAGGUGGACCCUUCCAAACGUCGGACUGGCAAAAAUGCACCUGCUAUCACGUAUCCGGGACCUUCCUUCAUCCAUCGCCCCGGUGCCUCACUGCCACAAACUACCCGUACCCACUCCUCCGGAGCGAGAGCAGUCGUCUUUAGAAGAGGGCAGCAAGUCAGAGAGCGAGGAAGACGUUGUAGAUCCAGAUGACAAUUUCAGAGGUGGAGCUGAGAAGAGAAACCCAUACUACCCCAACCAAAAAUACCUCAACGACUUGAUCAGAGAUCCUGGUCUCACCAAGUCCAAUGCCGAGCUUUUGACGUCAAGGCUCAAGCAGUGGAACUUGUUGGAUAAAAGUGUGCAAGUCGCAGAUCAGAUGAAGCGUCACUAAUCUUUUUGCAGCUUCUUCACCCGUCAAGAUGGGCUCUACUUCUGCCACAAUGUGGCCAGUCUGUUCGAGGCAAUCGGAAUCGCCUGUAACCAGAAUGAGUGGUGCCUCUUCAUUGACAGCUCUUCCAGGAGCCUCAAAGCCAUGCUGCUCCAUCAUGGUAACAAGUACCCGUCUCUUCCCCUGGUUCACUCGGUGCACCUCAAAGAGGAUUACAACAGCAUCAAGACCUUGCUGGAUGCCUUGAAGUAUGAUGAGUACGGCUGGGAGAUCAUCAGAGACUUCGAAAUGGUGGCAUUCCUGAUAGGUCUCCAAGGCGGUUUGACAAAGUGUCCCUGCUAUCUUUGCCAUUGGGACAGCAGGGACACCAAGUCACACUACCACAGGUGGGACUGGCCACAGCGGACCGAGUUCUCUGUGGGAAGGAACAACGUCAAGUGGGAGCCACUGGUGGACCCACGGAAGGACCGAGGGAGAACAGCAAGAGUGGUGGUGCCCAUCUCAGACGAGCCGAACGUCCAAUCAGAUGGCAGGAAGUCGUACGAAGAGGAGAAGACCACGUGGGAAGAAGUUUAUGAACUUAAAGCACCAGAGAGGAGGCCAAGCAGCAGACCAAGAGAGAUGUGGUUGCCAGUAGCGAACUGGGAUGUGAGGGAUUGCGGAGUGGACGUGGAGCCGAUGGCCCAGGACAGGCGUGAGGAGAGAGAGGACCAGGCAGGCUGACCCCACACAAGUGGGGACAAUGCCCAGAAGAAGAUGCAUCGUGAAUAUAGUUUUGUGUUGAGUGGUGCUUACUCUAAUGUUGGUGGACAUUUCAAAUAAAUAUGGCAGGGGCCAGUCCAGUACUCAACUUAGCGAGGACAAACUUCACACACAAUAUGGUACACAUACGCUCCUGUAUACAUACAUUCUCAAGGACCGCCUUGGUCAACAUUCAGUCUAUCAAUUUUUGUGCACUGCGAAUUCUACAAUGAAAAUGAAGUCUCGCACUUAGAAUAUCUGGAUAUUUGUAAUAUCUACACACGUUUGCAAAAACAUUUUCAGUCGUUUUGUGUGCACAACCGACGAUAAUGUUGUGUCUGUUUUUUAUAAGUGUACCAAUAUGCAAAUUAGCAUCUGUAUGUUCUGUCCAUCUCAUUGAUUCCACACAUUUGCGGAUAAAAUUUACGAUGUCCUGCGGACAAAGGCAAUCAAUGGCUUAUCAUGGUAAAGUACACGCGAGCACAACAAUGAUCCCCCAUUAGCCUUUCGGCCAUAUAGUCAUGGGCUGUCAGUGAGCAUCUAUGAAGGUGAGCGUGUUCGAGAGGGUGGUGGUGUCAAAUCACCGACUUUACUGGGGUAGAGCAGCGGUGACACAGUCAUGAGAUCACUGAACUGUGAACCCAGCGACUUGAGUCCGAUGCCUGUUAACAGCUCACAUCGAUUCCCGGCCACCGCGAAUGUUUCUGGUCAGUGAGGCAGGAGCCAGUCCUAAGUUCCCUCCGUCACCAACCGGCACAGACCAAUGUGGGAGUUCAUAAAUCUCCGUGAUCCAUUAUCUUGAUCACUAAAGCACUGGAUUACAGGCUACCUGCUGUAUCAAUUCAUAUUUUUUGUCGGCAAUGUGUCCAUGAUUAUUUCAGGACAGGGAGUUCAUAAAAGGCAACAGGACAGAGAUUUCAGUGUGGCAGAGGUACAAAGAUGUUUCCAAGUGAACGGGUAUUUAUUCCAAGGCAGAGGAGACGAGACAGAGGGGAGGUGCCAAACUAAGACGGCAUCAACGAGAAGCAACCUCGACUUGAGCUCAGGUUCACUAUGAUGGGUUUCAACAGGAGGCCUUGGUUGCCCAAGAAAACAUGUGGGAGGGGUGUAGUAGCAGGAGCUGGCGAGGAGGGAGAAGACGUGGGGGUGAUUCCUAGGACGAUCGUGGAACAAAUGUGCACCAGCCCCAACUGGUCUAGGGAACUCUCCCAGAAAGGUUCAGAUGUCGCACGUGCUGACCAGGUGUCACGAUCACCAGAAUUGUUAAGGAGCGUUAGAACCACUCUGCCACCACUGCCCACAUAUGCACUUCAGGUAACGUAAUUGGUGAUUUUAGUUGUUCAUUUAUAAUAUCAAGAUGAUACAACAAAAACAGAACGACAGAAAUAUGAUCUUGAUGAAGAUACUAUAUCAUUGAGUAAAAAAUAUCAUUGAGCAUCAUGUUGACCAUCCAGUGCAUUAAGUAAUUACUCUAAAUUAAGGAAUUUAAUGAGGUUAACAUUAAUGGCAAAUUGACAUUCAUUUUAAGGUGUAAAGUAUACAGCAGACAUCCCUGGCUAUAUAUGAAACAUUUUCUUCACGUACAUUUCUGAAAAGUGUCCUUAUCUAUCCGAGUGAUCGUUGAGGAAUUUAAAAUGUGGUGCCCAUAUUUGCUGUGUCCACAUAAUUGUCACUUUUAAGGCCUCCUGCCCAAUGCUGCAAUCAGUCGCCCCAUAGACUAAGUGCAAGGCUGGGCAUUUGGAUCAGGCAUGAGCCGUGACAUCACGACAGCGCAAUAGCAGUUCUAAUUCAACGCAAUUACAAACAUAAUGUGAUUGCCACUUGCACAACCCCACAGUUUGCUGUAUAGAUUGUUUCGGCUUUAAAACAAAUGCUGAAUUUAUUAUACGAAAAAAAAUCCCAUUAUUUCACACGAAUCUACGCUAAACGAUAAGAUAAAUAGACCCACAGCAGAGUGCUCAUGGGCCCGCGUAUAAAUAAUUACUAAAACGCAGAUAAUUGUCAUAUGAACAUUUGUGAGGUAGUCUCAGCUCAUAUAUAUUAAAAUAAAAGACAACCCUUUACAUUCAAUGCAUGCGGAUUCGAAUUAUAUAACGUUGCAGCCAUACACAUUACACACAUUUGUAGGUGACGUUCCCUGCUCAUUUGUGAAUAACAGCUCAUGAAUUUUAAAACGCUACACCAACCCCGAUAGAGAACAAACGCAUCACUCACGCACCACGGCUACUAAGAGGGCUUCAAUUCAAUACCCAGACCUCAAUUACAGAGCCGCUCGCCCCACAAUAAGACCAAUGGCAUAUCUACAUUCUCAAUCGGUUAAGAAAUUGUCUGAAUUAGGACAUGCCCUUCAUGAAAAGAGACCCAUCAAUAAGGCCAAUCGUAUUAAUAUUGUGUUUCUCGUACACUAUGAUCAACGUGGGAUAAAUUCAUACCGAAGCAGUGCCAUGGAUUUACAAUGCCUAAUUCAAGAGCAGAAAAAUAUUCACCACUGCUAACCUUUCCUCUACAAUAACCAUCAUUAACCAUCAUCUUCUAAUGAUCACAGCGAUACACUCCGCUGCCCCUGACGCGGUUACCUGGCUUGACCACCUGAAUGUGAAGUUGUUGCUGUUGCUCUGCAUCUACAGCAGCUGUAGAACAGAAAAUAAUAUAAUGGAGAAAAUAAUGGUAUGCAUCCACUUAAAAUGGACACAUUUUAAUAUGUAACAUGUUUUAGCGGUGUGGUCGGCUACAGGACUUAUCACCAUUGUUAAUAAUGAAUGCACUUUAACAUCCUUUUAUCAAUCUGCUGCUUGAUGAAGGUCUCGCAGUGUUGAGAUGGUGAUGGAGGAUGUUUGGGCAUACUUCACCACGCUGGUCAGUGCGGACCCGUGAAGGGGGGGCAUGCCCAGGAUCAGCCGUGGUCAGGAAUCAAACUCAGGUCACCGGGUUCCCAUUGGAAUGCACUUACAACUGUGCCAUCACUCUACCACAGUAUACAUAUACUUGUACACUUGUGUAGUGACAUAGAGUCGGUCACGGAGCAGCAUAGCGCUGGCUGCUGGCAGGGAAGGGGAUCUGCAGCUCGCAGCAGCCCUGACUGACAGCAGGUCACGCGAUUGACCAGAGGGGGAUGUAGGGGAAAGCUCACGGAAGGGGCACAUCGAGAACCCGCUAGAAGGCUCCAGAAGGGGGGCAUGUCCAGGGGCGGAGCCAGCAGGCCACGCUGGCAGUAGAAGAGGGGCCCCGGGAGGGGAGCUCGGGGCUGUCGUGUGGAGUGGGGGGGGUCCCCCUCGGCGUCGCCAGUCUGCCAGCCGUGCUGACUGGGAGCCGUAGUCACCCAGUGUGAACUGUUAAGGCCG